rnacentral:rRNA from 1 species
UACGUAGGGGGCGAGCGUCGUCCGGAAUUACUGGGCGUAAAGGGCGCGCAGGCGGCCGUGUAAGUCCGCUGUGAAAGACCGGGGCUCAACCCCGGGGUGUCAGCGGGGACUGCAGGGCUGGAGUCUCGGAGAGGGAUGCGGAAUACCUGGUGUAGCGGUGGAAUGCGUAGAUAUCGUGAGGAACACCAGAGGCGAAGGCGGCUACCUGGACAAUUGCUGACGCUCAGGCACGAAAGCGUGGGGAGCAAAAGGG